rnacentral:tRNA from 1 species
GGGUAUAGCUCAGUGGUAGAGCACAUUCUUAGAAGCACGAGAUCCUGGGUUCAAUCCUCAGUACCUCCA